UGAAGACCAGACGAGCUGCUGCAUUCUGUCUUUAUUUUGUAUGGCUUUAAGUGUGUUUUAAAUGUGUUUUGUCAUUAUUAUGGCGUGCACCAGCAUGUGGACGUGACACGUCGCUUGUGAAAGAGCUCUCCAGUGCCUCUGCGUUGCUUGGCAGAAACCUUUACAGGUCUUCUUCCUCAGACUCAGGGCUAGUGUAGUCAUUGUCAUCCGACUCCUCAAUGUCCUGCUUUAAUUGAAGAUCAUGGCAUUAGCGGCUACACCGCUGUACGCAUGUACAGCCUGUUUGUGUUGGCUUUUGAGGAAGUGCCACCUCCGACUGAGGACACUCUUGAGCCCCUGUGCAGCAUCCUCUGUCAGGUCACCGAAAUCUCUGGUUUUGAUGAGA